UACGAAGGGGGCUAGCGUUGCUCGGAAUUACCGGGCGUAAAGGGCGCGUAGGCGGAUGUUUAAGUCGGGGGUGAAAGCCCGGGGCUCAACCUCGGAAUUGCCUUCGAUACUGGACAUCUUGAGUACGGGAGAGGUGAGUGGAACUCCGAGUGUAGAGGUGAAAUUCGUAGAUAUUCGGAAGAACACCAGUGGCGAAGGCGACUCACUGGCCCGUUACUGACGCUGAGGCGCGAAAGCGUGGGGAGCAAACAGG
rnacentral:rRNA from 1 species